GCCAGCUGGUAGAGUGGCAGAAGAAUUAUACACAAUUAUAGACCUGGCAAUUAAUAGUGACUGCAUCAACCCAAAAUGAGCCUUUCUUUUCUUCCACCCUGGAGAAAAGAAAAUGUGAUGGCAGUUACUGUCUCUGGAAUAGUCUCUGUCACUCUUUAAGAGGCUCCUCUUCUGUAAGGCCUCCGUGCACUUGGAUUCACAGCAUUAACUCUCAAUGCUGUCUCAAUGAAACACACCCAUCGGAACUUAUGAGUUGUGGAAACAUGUACCAAGUUUGAACCCAGUUGAGAUCAGUGAAAGACCAAUUAUAUCCUAUAGCAAGUUUCAGUGGUUCAUACUCUAACUUUUGCUGGACAUAGAGGAUACGAACUCAGAAAGGCUUGGAGUAUGAAGUUGUACUGCCCAGGAGGGUGAUGGCUGAAGAGUCACAGAAGCCACUAACCUGCUGACCCUGAGCACAAAAUUAUGUGGGGGUACACAUUUAAAAAAAUUCUGGGAAAAUAAUACCUAACUUCCAUUAUAAUCCCAAAGAGGGAGGAAAGAGGAGGCUUAAGAACUAUUACUCUACAAUGAAAGAAAAAAAAAAAAAACAACUCCAUAUAUAUAGAGUGGUAGAUCUUAGUCAUGACAGAAUAGCUGGUGAGAAAAUUUCAGAAGUUAAAACCUAGGGCUUUCUAGAUGGACUUUUUGAUUCACAGAAGACUGAUUUGCUGAACUAGGAGGAAAGAUGAAAGUGAUCUUGUUUGCUCACGGAAAGUAAAGUCUGGUAAAACUUUUAGAACGUUCCAGUAGUGCAAGUGUUGAUGUUACCAUGAUUGAAAUGACGUCAGACUGUGUAGCAAUGUCCUAUUAGC